AAGCUCGUAGUAGAAGCUCGGGCUCCGGCCGACCGGUCCGCCUCACCGCGUGCACUGGUUCGGCCGGGCCUUCACCUUCUGCGGAACCGCAUCCCCUUCACUGGGGGUGUCGGGGAAACAGGACGUUUACUGUGAAAAAAUUAGAGUGCUCCAGGCAGGCCUAUGCUCGAAUAGAUUAGCAUGGAAUAAUGGAAUAGGACGUGUGGUCUUAUUUCGUUGGUUUCUAGGACCGCCGUAAUGAUUAAUAGGGACAGUCGGGGGCAUCAGUAUUCAAUCGUCAGAGGUGAAAUUCUUGGAUCGAUUGAAGACUAACUACUGCGAAAGCAUUUGCCAAGAAUGUUUUCAUUUAUCAGGAACGAAAGUUAGGGGAUCGAAGACGAUCAGAUACCGUCGUAGUCUUAACCAUAAACUAUGCCGACUAGGGAUCGGACGGUGUUAUUUCUUGACCCGUUCGGCA
rnacentral:rRNA from 1 species